GCCAAGUAGCGUGCAGGAUGACGGCCCUAUGGGUUGUAAACUGCUUUUAUACAGGAAUAAACCCACCUACGUGUGGUGUUUGUAUGUACUGUAUGAAUAAGGACCGGCUAAUUCCGUGCCAGCGAGCCGCGGUAAU
rnacentral:rRNA from 1 species